ACAAGAUACAAGCAGAAAACGCUGUGUAGCGACUGUGAACCUAAAACUAUACUUUUUGCAUGUUGCAGGUAAGGUGGUGACGUUAUUGAGGGAUCCAGGGCUAAGAUAAUGUUUACACUGUACGUCAGGGGCACUGUAUUACGGUCCGUGAAUGUUCUUAGCGACUGUAUUUCACUGUGUAAUGCUAGCCAGUUAGCAGCUAAUGUACGGAGGGCGCCUGCUUUGGUAGUAGGGACACACGGGGCAGUAGACUUCACAAUGAACCCUCAUCACUCGUAUCUUUUAAGACUGGGUACAGUAACAUUGUGUGAAAUUGUUAUAUUAGUAUUUAUGUUUAUGUUAAUGUUUUGUCGUACAGUUUAUUAAGAAAUGUAGUGUUAUACUGAAUGCAGAUUAUUGGUAUAGAAAUGAAUGAGACAUAUUACCCUCAUGAGAUAGGGUGUAAAUCUUUUAUUUUAUGUAUUUGGUAUCUUGUUAUUGGUUAUUUGUUAUUAUGCUGAUCUGUUCUGUACGACAUCUAUUGCACAUCUGUCCGUCCUGGAAGAGGGAUCCCUCCUCAGUUGCUCUUCCUGAGGUUUCUACCAUUUUUUUCCCCGUUAAAGGGUUUUUUUGGGGAGUUUUUCCUUAUCCGCUGCGAGGGUCAUAAGGACAGAGGGAUGUCGUAUGCUGUAAAGCCCUGUGAGGCAAAUUGUGAUUUGUGAUAUUGGGCUUUAUAAAUAAAACUGAAUUGAAUUGAAUUAUUGUGAACAAGGGGCAUAAUGGGAAUCUCUGUGCACAAGAUACAAGCAGAAAACGCUGUGUAGCGACUGUGAACCUAAAACUAUACUUUUUGCAUGUUGCAGAAACACAUUAAAUGUGUAGCACCAGAUUGAGCCUGCGUGACAUCAUUUCAAUUCUUAGACGAUAGACACUAUUGUAUACUGUGCUUUUGGAGUAUUAUGUUUUAGCACAUGGGUCACUUCAAUAUUUGACUGAUUGUUCAAAUCAGCGGUGGCCUCACUAUACAUCAUCCCUUACUUAUUUCAAUUUAGAGUCAAUGAACAGUGACACAUUUCCUACAGAUGCACUAAUAACUCAGUCAAGAGCUCUCAUCCAUUUGGUAACAUCCUUGCGCACAGUUUUCCAGUGGUUCGAUGCCCACACCUUGUUGAGUGUUAUUUUUUCUGCCUGAGUGACCCCCGUUGUCAUGGCAUUCCCUCAACACCUCACACACCUGUUUUUGGUCCAUCACCACCAGUCGGGUUUGGUCAUUCCAUCUGUAAAACAGCUGCUCAUCUAUUGCAGCAGGGCAUUGAAUCAUUUUGUAUUUUAUUGUCCCUUAAGCUUAUAUCAUGAGUUGCAUCAGAUAUUAUUUGACAGGUGUAAAAACUCUGAUUUGAUGUGCUUAAGAAACUCAAAUGGAUUUGCACUUGCUGAAUAUUUGGAGAAAGCUUGGGAUUAAUUUAACAAACAAAAACAGCAUAUGUGAUUAUAUUUUGAUUUCUGGUGUAAAUUGUGUAGCCUCCGAUUAAAGGUGCAGUAAGUAAGUGCAUUUAGCAAAAAAAGAAAUAUAUUUUACUCCCCUAUUUUUAUUUUUUAUAUUUUAAAAAGUGUUAAAAUAUAUCACUUACUAGUGCAUUAAGUGAAGUGAAUGUAAUACUGUACACUGAUGUUUGUGGUGUCUGCCAUAAAAAUAAAAAUUCAUUCAUUCAUGAACCACACCUCACACAGUCACGUUAGCCUUCCAGAAAGCUAAAUUUGGAAGCUAAUUUAAUAUUCUUUAUCCAUAUACACCUCACACAGUCACGUUAGCUUUCCAGAAAGCUAAACUUGGAAGCUAAUUUAAUAUUCUUUACCCAUAUACACCUCACACAGCAAUGUUAGCUUUCCAGAAAGCUAAAUUUGGAAGCUAAUUUAAUAUUCUUUACCCAUAUACACCUCACACAGCCACGUUAGCUUUCUAGAAAGCUAAAUUUGGAAGCUAAUUUAAUAUUCUUUACCCAUAUGUUACGUGCCGUAGAGUUUGUGGUGUGUGUGUGGGUGUCUUUCUGUUUGUUUGUUACAGGUGUGUGUUGCAGGUGUGUUCCCUGAACGGCCUCGCAGCUGGUGCCAAUCAGGUGAAGGAUAAAGGAGAGUGGACCAAGGCCGCCGGCAGUCAGUAUGGACCGCUAGUGCUUCUGGGAACCGUCUCGCCACCACGUGUUUUAGUGUACCUCCUCGCAUUUCGUUAGUGUAAUACCAGUGUGUAGUGAUAUACCGUGUAGUGUCUAAAAUCCGGUGUUUUCUGAGUUUUUGUUUAGUUAAUAAAACAUUUCUCUUUUCUCUUCGGUAUGUAUUGUUUAUUUAAUAAUUACGGUUACUCCUGAAACCUCCUAGACAAGUUGGAACGUAACAAUUGGGGGCUCGUCCGGGAUCUUGCAGUUUUUUUACCAUUCGUGUUUAUGUCCGUGACCGUGAGUGUAUAUUGUGUAACGUGGAACGGCUUUCUCAGCUUAGACAGGGAGUGCCCAGCUGAGCCGGAGCGGCUUUUCCUUCGGGCAUUCAUUUAUUAUUUUUCCUUUUUUAUUUUCGAGGUCAAUCCUGGGCGGAGGCAGUGUUCUCCAAAGGGGGCUGGCGUUUCAAGGCUUUGGCCGUUGAUGUGUGCCUGUAAGUCGCCUCGAGCCCGGCACGGCUUCAGAAGAUAAAUUGGUAAGUGAAAGUAGGCAGGUGCUGGGAAAGUUUGUUUUCAUGUUGCAUAUGCUCUGUGGUAUUUGUGUCGGCGGACACUGAGCGAGGGCAAUUUGAUGUUGAACACUGUGGUGGCGUUACUUUGUGGUGAGCAUGGCGUUAGUGUUGGAUGAUUUUGUGGCUAAUCCCGAACUAAGCAGUCUCGAGAAGUGUAAGAAGGCUGUUUUGUUUGCUAUCGCUAACCACUACAGUAUUCAUGUGGCUCGUUCUCUCCGUAAAGACGAUUUGAGAGCAGCUGUGAUACGUGGUUUGUGUGACCGGGGUAUAUUGGUGUUGUCUGUGGAUCGUACCUCGGCUGUGGAGGUCAAUGCUGCAGCAGGGACACCCGAUGGUGAUGACCGCUCUGAUGUGCUCUCUGGAGCCGGUUCUCCUGUACACGAUGAGGCAGAGGCGACCGCUUGUGUUGAUGUGACUCCUCCGGUGCAGGUGGCAAAGCUUGAGGAAAAGCAUCCUUGCACGCUACCUCGUUUUGAUCCCGUCUCUCCAGAAUCUUCAGGUUCUAAGCUAGAUGCGCGGUUAAAGUUGCGGUUGGCUCGGCUCCAGAUGGAACAGGAAGAGAGAAGGGAAGAGAGGGAGUUUCAGCUUAGAAGGGAGCUGGAGCUCAGGAAAAUGGAUAUAGAGAGAGAGGCUCUUAAAGUGCGCCAGUUAGAGCUCCAGAAGACCCCAGUGAGUCUCGCGUCCAGUGCGCAAAAUGUUCCUGUCUUGCCAGCAGCAUUUGAUGUAAGUAAGCACAUUUCUCUGGUUCCAGUUUUCUGUGAAUCGGAGGUUGAGGCUUAUUUUGGAGCUUUUGAAAGGAUUGCCGGUGCCUUGAAUUGGCCCGUGAAUGUGUGGGCAAUCUUGCUACAAUGUAAACUGGUCGGAAAAGCUCAAGAAGCGCGUUCAGCUCUUUCCGUGGAGGAUGGUCUCGAUUACAAGAAGGUUAAAGGCGCUAUUCUUCGGGCUUAUGAGUUAGUGCCUGAGGCAUAUAGACAGCGUUUUCGCAGCCUUUGUAAAAUGCCUGACCAGUCAUACAUUGAUUUCGCAAGAGAAAAGGAAACUCUCUUUGAUCGGUGGUGUACAGCUAGUAAAGCUGAUAAGUUGGUGUCUGUGCGUGAGCUGAUGUUGCUGGAGAAGUUUAAAAACUGCCUCCCUGAGCGCACAGCUGUUUAUUUAAAUGAGCAAAAGGUUUCCACUCUGCAACAAGCUGCAAAACUUGCGGAUGAGUUUACACUUACGCAUAAAACUGUGUUUGUGAAGAGAGACUCCUUUCAAAAUAAAUCCACCUCCAAGCCUGACAUCCAGGUGCGUAGUAUCAACUCUGUAGGCCCUAAGCCUGAUAGACCAUGCUAUUACUGCCUUAAGUCUGGCCACCUUAUUGCAGACUGUGAAGCAUGGAAGCAAAGACAGAAGAUGGCUUCAAAACAGCCAAAGGGGGUUGGGUUAAUAAAUACCUCGCCCAGGGCAUCCAUUGAGUCCCUAGCUCCUGAAAUACCUGAUUGUUUUAAACCUUUUACUUGUGAUGGAUUUGUGUCUGUUUCAGGAAAUGCUGAGGACCAGCGCCCGAUUAAGAUCUUGCGAGAUACAGCGUGUUCACAAUCACUAAUCCUCUCCAGUGUGCUACCUUUGAAUACCAGGUCUGAGGAAAGUGCUGUGGUAAGGGGUAUCGAGAUGGGGUUUGUACCUGCACCUCUAUAUUAUGUUCAUGUGACGUCAGAGAUAGCUACUGGGUUCUUUAAGGUGGGUGUCCGUGCAGAGUUUCCUGUUAAUGGUAUUGACUUCAUCAUGGGAAACGACAUUGCAGGGGGUAAGGUUUAUCCUGUCCCUAAGAUGGUGGAUGUGCCUAUUCGGGAGUCUCAUGAUGAUGUAGCCAUCGGGCACCCUGAUGUGUUUGUGGCUAGUGUGCUAACUAGAGCUCAGGCUCAUAAAAAUGUACAGGAGGUUAAUCUUGCUGACUCAAUACUGGGUUCUGCUCUCUCUAAAGAAGAGUCGCCCUCCAGUGGUGGUGCCGUAAGCAGCAGGAUCACGGAGCCUGAAAAGGAGACGGUGUCUAUGACCGAUUCACCGGUGCCGUUGACGCGUGAGGCCCUCAUCAAAGCUCAGGGAAGUGACCCAUCGCUUGCUAAGUGCUGGGCUGCUGUUGUUGAUAAAUCUAAGUGUAGCUAAAAGCAGCCCUUUUUCGUGGAGGAGGAUGUGUUGAUGCGCAGGUGGGUCGCACCUACACACAGCCAGCGAGACAGGCGACGAGUCAGGGGUGGUGUAUGAGGUAGUGCUCCCUGGUAACUAUCGUCAACAGGUGUUAGUGCUAGGUCAUGAACAUGUGUGGUCGGGUCAUUUGGGCGUUACCAAAUCCUAUAACCGUGUACUUAAGCACUUUUUCUGGCCAGGAAUGAGGUCGGAAGUUGCACAUUUCUGCAGAACCUGCCCAACGUGCCAAAUUGUGGGUAAACCAAAUCAGCCCAUCCCUCUUGCUCCUCUGCAGCCCAUCCCAGCCAUAGGGGAACCCUUUGAACAUGUGCUGGUUGACUGCGUUGGGCCUCUCCCUAGAACAAAGUUAGGAAAUCAAUUUUUACUCACUCUGAUGUGUAUUAACACCCGUUUUCCUGAAGCUAUUCCCCUCCGUAAAAUCACUGCGGCAUCAGUCACGAAGGCUUUAACCAAGUUCUUCACCACAUUUGGCCUCCCAAAAAUUGUACAGACUGAUCAGGGCACCAAUUUUCUGUCUAAGGUUUUCAAGCAAAUGCUUAGUUCAUUGGGUGUCUCCCAUUCUGUGGCCAGCGCCUAUCAUCCAGAGUCCCAGGGUGCUCUCGAACGCUGGCACCAAACCCUUAAGUCUAUGCUAAAAAAGUUUUGCCAUGAGACAGGGAAAGACUGGGAUGAGGGAGUACCAUUUGUUCUUUUUGCCAUUCGGGAUGCAAAGCAGGAAUCCCUGGGGUUUAGCCCAGCAGAGUUAGUGUUUGGACAUAAUGUGCGUGGUCCACUCAAAGUACUACAGGAGCAGUUAGUGUGCAGCUCCCCGCCUAAGACUAAUGUGACAGAUUUUGUCUUUCGGUGUAGAGAGCGGCUGCAGUGAGCUGUCAAGUUGGCUAAAGAAGCACUGUCCGUCUCUCAAAUGAAUAUGAAAAAGAGGUUUGAUAAAAAAGCAGUUAAGCGACAGUUCCAGCCUGGUGAUACAGUGUUGAUGUUGCUGCCCACACCUGGUGCUGCGCUCACUGCACGGUUCUCAGGUCCAUAUGUGGUGGACAGGAGAGUCUCUGAAACAGACUACGUCAUUCGUACACCUGAGCGAAGAAGGAAAACCUGUGUGUGUCAUGUUAACAUGUUAAAAUCUUAUCAUUCCAGAGGUACUGCUGGGAGAGAGCCGCAGCCCUCAGAGGUCAAGGUGGUAGGGGUUUCUUCCUUGGUGGAGAUGCAGCCGGAGGAGACAGACUUGGUGAUGCCCUGUGACAGUCAUCGGUGUGAUGUACAACAGUAACCAGCGC